rnacentral:rRNA from 1 species
UACGUAGGCAGCGAGCGUUGUUCGGAGUUACUGGGCGUAAAGGGUGUGUAGGCGGUUGUUUAAGUUCGGUGUGAAAUCUCCUGGCUUAACUGGGAGGGUGCGCCGGAAACUGGAGUGCUCGAACGUGGGAGAGGAAAGUGGAAUUCCCGGUGUAGUGGUGAUAUGCGUAGAUAUCGGGAGGAACACCUGUGGCGAAGGCGGCUUUCUGGGCCCUACCUGACGCUGAGACGCGAAAGCGUGGGGAGCGAACCGG